AGUGGAAGCUGCGAUCGGCCGAACCUGUGGACGCUGCAGACACCACUGGUGAAGAGGCUGCAAGAUCUGGAUAACUGAAGCCUGCAAUGGACACCGACAAUGGAUGACAGAUGUAACACACAGAAUGCAGCAUACAUCUUACUUUAGAAGCCAUUUCUUCCAUAAACUACUUCACAGUGUGGCUUUAAAUUGAGGAUGGCUUUUACAACAUUUCAUUAUUUCCCAGCUGAAGCUUAUAUGGAAACGGCAAUGGUACCAAACAAGGGCAAACGGUGUUAAAAACUGUAGACUAAAUGUGGGGCAAUU